AGCUCUUUCUGAAGCAGUGAUUUGACGGACAAUUAAAACAUUAGGGUUUCUUCGGUGCAAGUUCAAGAUUCGCUCUGCGAAUCAACCUCAUUGUGGAUUCUCUUGACGACGAGAAAGAGUUAAACUUUCUUGCAUCCCUCAAUUCCCAUGUUUUAUUUCCUCUACAAAUCCCUUCUCCAACAUGGGAGUCACGCCGCCACACUUUCACCGACCCACAAGCUCUUUUCAUUUCAACACUCACCUUCGAUUAUUACUUUUAGAUUCUUCAUCUCAACCCUCGAAAACCCAAAUAAACAGUCAUUUGCAGCCUCUUAUCUCAUAAACAAAUUUGGGUUCUCUCCUGAAUCUGCUCUUUCAGCUUCUAAACAUCUCAGUUUUAAAACCCCAGAUAACCCUGACUCAGUGAUUCGCAUGUUCCAGCACUAUGGUCUCUCUCAAGACCAAAUCUUUAAACUCGUUAAAAAAUACCCACGAGUGCUUUCGUGCAAACCUGAGAAAACCCUUUUGCCGAAACUCAAGUUUUUUCACUCUAAAGGCAUGUCAGGCAAUGACAUUGCCCACAUUUUAUGUGCACAUCCUUGUAUUUUGAAUAGAAGCUUGGAAAACCAAAUAAUUCUUAAUUUCAACUUCCUUGGCAAUUUGCUUCAAUCUAAUGAAAAGACAAUUGCUGCUGUUAAAAGAUACUCGCCUAUUCUCUAUCAUAAAAUCGAUACAUAUUUGAAACCUUGUAUCGACAUUUUGGAAGAGUAUGGAGUCCCCAAAAGGCAUAUUGCUACAUUGGUUCACCGUUCUCCUAGGUCUGCCAUGAUGUCUCCGAAUCAUUUGAGAAGCAUCGCUGAGACGGUGAGAGAAAUGGGAUGUGAUCCUCUUAAGCCGCAUUUUGCUACGGCAGUGAUGGUGAUGGGUCUAUUGAGCAAAUCUGGGUGGGAAAGGAGGCUGGGUGUUUAUAAGAGUUGGGGUUGGUCCGAGGAAGACGUUCUUGCUGCUUUCAUAAAGGAACCUUGGUGCAUGAUGACAUCAGAUGAUAAGAUUAUGGCAGUGAUGGAUUUUUUGGUUAAUAACAUGGAUUGUGAGCCUUCAUUUAUUGUGAAAAACCCCUAUCUUUUGAAGCCAGGCUUGAAGACAACAUUUAUACCAAGAGCUUCAGUUGCUCAGUUUUUGUUAUCGAAACAGUUGAUUAAAAGGAAGCCUAACUUGGUUACUCUGUUUUUGUGUUCUGAGAAGUUGUUCCUUGAGAAGUUCGUGAAUUGUUUUGAUGAAGCCCCACAGCUAUUGAAGCUGUAUAACAAAAGAAAUCAAAUCUUUCAAAAAUGAGAGGCAGAUGGACAUGCGCAUUUUUGUAUUUCCAUCCUAUCAAUUUGCACCAGUCUCUACCACUUAAAUACUUGGAAUUUGUUCUGUUUUUCUUUUUGAUGGAAUGAGAAUCAGAUAUUCAGCUUUUCUCCAAAUUCGUGAAGAAAGAAAAGGUAAUCCAUGCUGAGGUUUCUUCGUCAUCAAUGCCUCAAGUUGGAACGUAGUAAAAGAAAAUCUAACUUGACGAGAUUUUCUAGCAUGUGUGCUUUGAUGGUGAAUUCAAUUGGUGUAGCUGUUGAGCUAAGAGGUGAGACUUGUACCUAGGGCUUCAAUAGUACCAUUUCUGUUAAUUGGUAUAGCUGUUGAGCUAAGAGGUGAGACUUGUACCUAGGGCUUCAAUAGUACCAUUUCUGUUAUCAAAUAGUUUGAUUGACGAGCUUUCCAAAUUGGUUGUUCUGUUUAAAUAUUUUGAGAAGCUCCUUGAGAAGUUUGUAAUUGUUUUGAUGAAGCUCGUCAGCUAUUCAAGCUAUAUAGAGAAAAAUUGGUCUUUCAAAAUGAAAUGGAAAUCUAAUAGUUGAAAACUUUUCA